GAUGAACGCUGGCGGCGUGCCUAAUACAUGCCAGUCGAGCGAACAGACGAGGCGCUUGCUUCUCUGACGUUAGCGGCGGACGGGUGAGUAACACGUGGAUAACCUACCUAUAAGACUGGGAUAACUUCGGGAAACCGGAUCUCAUACCGGACAAUAUAUUGAACCGCAUGGUUCAAUAGUGAACGACGGUUUUGCUGUCCCUUAUAGAUGGUUCCGGGCCGCAUUAGCUAGUUGGUACGGUAACGGCUUACCAAGGCGACGAUGCGUAGCCGGCCUGAGAGGGUGAUCAGCCACACUGGAACUGAGACACGGUCCAGACUCCUACGGGAGGCAGCAGUGGGGAAUCUUCCGCAAUGGGCGAAAGCCUGACCGAGCAACGCCGCGUGAGUGAAGAAGGUCUUCGGAUCGUAAAACUCUGUUAUUUGGGAAGAACAAAUGUGAGAGUAACUAUGCACGUCUUGACGGUACCUAAACAAAAAGCCACGGCUAACUACGUG
rnacentral:rRNA from 1 species